AUUGAACGCUGGCGGCAGGCCUAACACAUGCAAGUCGAGCGGAUGAAGGGGGCUUGCUCCUGGAUUCAGCGGCGGACGGGUGAGUAAUGCCUAGGAAUCUGCCUGGUAGUGGGGGAUAACGUCCGGAAACGGGCGCUAAUACCGCAUACGUCCUGAGGGAGAAAGUAGGGGAUCUUCGGACCUCACGCUAUCAGAUGAGCCUAGGUCGGAUUAGCUAGUUGGUGGGGUAAAGGCCUACCAAGGCGACGAUCCGUAACUGGUCUGAGAGGAUGAUCAGUCACACUGGAACUGAGACACGGUCCAGACUCCUACGGGAGGCAGCAGUGGGGAAUAUUGGACAAUGGGCGAAAGCCUGAUCCAGCCAUGCCGCGUGUGUGAAGAAGGUCUUCGGAUUGUAAAGCACUUUAAGUUGGGAGGAAGGGCAGUAAGUUAAUACCUUGCUGUUUUGACGUUACCAACAGAAUAAGCACCGGCUAACUUCGUG
rnacentral:rRNA from 1 species